GGGGUUGUGGCUCAGAGGUAGAGCACUCGCCUAGCAUGCAAGAGGUACUGAAUUUGAUCCUUAGCACCACA
rnacentral:tRNA from 1 species